AGUGUUAAAUUUUAGGCCUUACAUGAUUCUCAGGGCAUUGCUCUAGGGUUGUGUGGCCGUGUCUCGUGCCCAACUCAGGUGCUGGGUUUGGGGCGUGACAGUUAGCUUGGCAUAAAAGGUAGGAAUGCCCACAAUACUUCCACUUAUGAUUGGAAGAAGUUAACGAGUCAUUAGUUUUGGAGGGAGGGACUAGUCUGUGAUUUGCUCCCAGCAGCUUCUCUAGCAUGGCUUUUGUUCAGAGUUCAUCCAAGUGUA
rnacentral:lncRNA from 1 species